UUAUUGAAAUUCGUUUAGGAUUGCUCGAUGCUACGUCGACUGCCUCAUUAAAAUGGAUGGCAAUAGCAUUAAGGCGACAGGUUCGGGUGAACCAAUGAUGAGAGCUGUGUCUCCGAGCCCUGUAUCUGUAUUUGUGCCAAUCGGCGUACAUUAUAAAACCAUAAAAAUCGCAAAAGCGCGGCCAUAAACCGCAACUGAGGCAGCCGAGCUAAGCGAUGGCUGCGGCGGGCCGACGGGACGGACAAUUGUCGCAUGCAGUGCCAAUAAAUAUCCGAUUAUAUGGUAAUUGUGUAUACCUCAAUAUAUAUUCGCAUAAGCGCA